UACGGAGGGGGCAAGCGUUGUCCGGAUUUAUUGGGCGUAAAGAGCGUGUAGGCGGCCAGGUAGGUCCGUUGUGAAAACUCGAGGCUCAACCUCGAGACGUCGGCGGAAACCCUCUGGCUAGAGUCCGGAAGAGGAGAGUGGAAUUCCUGGUGUAGCGGUGAAAUGCGCAGAUAUCAGGAAGAACACCCGUGGCGAAGGCGGCUCUCUGGGACGGUACUGACGCUGAGACGCGAAAGCGUGGGGAGCAAACAGG
rnacentral:rRNA from 1 species